AAUUGUUGCUAUAGCAACACACUUAGAGAUCAACAGACCGCUUAGGGACUCUGAGACGUCAACAUGUAGCCAGCUUUGUUUGUUCAACGGUUUCCUUCAAAAACCUAUCUUUUUGAUGAAACUGCGAAACACAACAGAAAAACUGAUGGAAAACCUAACAAAGCGCUGUUUUACUGGUAAAGAUGGUAACAGUUCUUCAGAACGUAGAAAAUCUUCUUUAGAGGCCAGAAGAUCUUCUUCACAAGACAAAAGCUCUUCUCCAUGAAGAUGGAGGAACCAGUCUUCAUUUGAUGAUUCAAGCAGCGAAACAAGUGAGGAUGAAGCAGAGACCAGCAGUGGAGACACAUCUAUAGCAAAAAACAAGAAGAAAGGCCUGCUGGGAAAAGGAGGCUACAGGUCUGUUUAUGCCGGCCAUCGUAUUUCUGACGGAUUACAGGGAGUGUGACGUAGAGCAGCCUUCUCUGUCAAAUGUUGGUAAGUGGCGUCUUUUCAAAAAAACGUGCGUUAGCCUCAUAGCAUGAAUGCCUAAGUUAUAUCGUUGACCAAAUUUUAAUAUUUAUUCAAGGAUAAAAAUUAGAAUCUGACUCAUUUAUUUCAAUUGUGCAUUGCACAACAAAAUUAAAAGAACCUAAAUUCCCAAUAGUGUGAUUAUUCCUGCUUUUAAAAAGUUUUGACUGUGGCAAUUAUACAAUGAGGCUAACGAACUGUUAAUGAUCUCGAGAUGUUUUUUUUUAUUUGUACAGAUACGGCGUAAAUGUGACGUAGCCAUUAGGGCGGCUG